GGGGAAUUUUGGACAAUGGGCGCAAGCCUGAUCCAGCAAUGCCGCGUGCAGGAUGAAGGCCUUCGGGUUGUAAACUGCUUUUGUACGGAACGAAAAAGCUCUCUCUAAUACAGGGGGUGAAUGACGGUACCGUAAGAAUAAGCACCGGCUAACUACGUGCCAGCAGCCGCGGUAAUACGUAGGGUGCAAGCGUUAAUCGGAAUUACUGGGCGUAGAGCGUGCGCAGGCGGUUUUGUAAGACAGAGGUGAAAUCCCCGGGCUUAACCGGGGAACUGCGUUUGUGACUGCAAGGCUGGAGUACGGCAGAGGGUGGUGGAAUUCCACGUGUAGCAGUGAAAUGCGUAGAGAUGUGGAGGAACACCGAUGGCGAAGGCAGCCCCCUGGGCCUGUACUGACGCUCAUGCACGAAAGCGUGGGGAGCAAACA
rnacentral:rRNA from 1 species